UUUUCCGUUUCCGUGGUUUGGGAGCAGUUGACCUGCCCGGCUGACCUCUCGUCUGUCCACUCACCGCUCUGUUUUCUGUUCUUCCAGAGGAAUUAUCUCUCGCGGAGCAGGUGAGGAGGAUAAAGGACAUCGAGGCCAUUGAGAGUGACUCCUUUGUUCCUCAGGCUUUCAAAUCAUCUCGGGACUCCACCAAGGCGACUGAAGCUUCAGAGAUCAAGACAGAGGCCGAGACUAUGAAAGAGGAAGUCCCCGUUCUGCCCAUCUCCAUCACGUACAACGACAGCAACAGCCUGGCUCACCCCAACUUGUUCGUGGAUAAAGAGGAGGCCGAGAGGUUGUGGUUGAACAGACUGGUUUCUCUGCGUCAGGAGAGGCUCAUGGGAAGUCCGGUGUCCUGAUGACAAUGCGGAUGUGAAGACCGUUUUAGCCUCUGGAGCUCCUACAUCUCUCAGAAAGGAGCAAGUGCACCUCCUGCUGGUUUCCUCGGGACAUAUCUUCCAAAAGUGAAUUUCAGCAUGUGCUUCUCCUGAAUCUGUGCUGGUUUGUUAGUUUAACCUUAUAAUAACUGAUAAUGAUAGUAGAUUUAGGGAUUAUUUACACAUGCUCUUUUUUCAGUUUUAAGCAGCCAUCCUUCUCAUCAACAUGAAUGUAUGACAAUUGUGUGUAGCGUUUGCUAGGUUUUUGUUUUAGCCUUGUUCUUUUUUUCAAUAAAUGAUCGUGUUGUAAUUCUUGGACAGAACUUGUAUUGUGGACGUUAAACAGAUUAGCAUUUACUAAUGAAACGAAUGAAUCUUU